rnacentral:rRNA from 1 species
AUUGAACGCUGGCGGAAUGCUUUACACAUGCAAGUCGAGCGGCAGCGCGGGGGCAACCCUGGCGGCGAGCGGCGAACGGGUGAGUGACAUAUCGGAACGUACCCCGUCGUGGGGGAUAACACAGCGAAAGCUGUGCUAAUACCGCAUACGACCUGAGGGUGAAAGCGGGGGAUCGCAAGACCUCGCGCGAUGGGAGCGGCCGAUAUCGGAUUAGCUUGUUGGUGAGGUAAAGGCUCACCAAGGCGACGAUCCGUAGCUGGUCUGAGAGGACGACCAGCCACACUGGAACUGAGACACGGUCCAGACUCCUACGGGAGGCAGCAGUGGGGAAUUUUGGACAAUGGGCGCAAGCCUGAUCCAGCCAUGCCGCGUGAGUGAAGAAGGCCUCGGUU